ACGAACGCUGGCGGCGUGCUUCACACGCAAGUCGAACGGUGAAGCGCCUUCCUUUUUGGUGGGUGUGGAUGAGUGGCGAACGGGUGAGUAACACGUGAGUAACCUGCCCCCUUCUUCUGGAUAACCGCAUGAAAGUGUGGCUAAUACGGGAUAUUCUGGGUCUGUCGCAUGAUGGGUCUGGGAAAGAUAUUGUUUCGGUGGGGGAUGGGCUCGCGGCCUAUCAGCUUGUUGGUGGGGUGAUGGCCUACCAAGGCGGUGACGGGUAGCCGGCCUGAGAGGGUGGACGGUCACACUGGGACUGAGACACGGCCCAGACUCCUACGGGAGGCAGCAGUGGGGAAUAUUGCACAAUGGGCGCAAGCCUGAUGCAGCGACGCCGCGUGAGGGAUGGAGGCCUUCGGGUUGUGAACCUCUUUCGCCAGUGAAGCAGGCCUGCCUCGUUUGUGGGUGGGUUGACGGUAGCUGGAUAAGAAGCGCCGGCUAACUACGUG
rnacentral:rRNA from 1 species